rnacentral:rRNA from 1 species
UACGUAGGCAGCAAGCGUUGUUCGGAGUUACUGGGCGUAAAGCGUGCGCAGGCGGUUUUGUAAGCCAGAUGUGAAAUCCCCGGGCUCAACCUGGGAACGGCGCUUGUGACUGCAAGGCUAGAGUACGGCAGAGGGGGGUGGAAUUCCACGUGUAGCAGUGAAAUGCGUAGAGAUGUGGAGGAACACCGAUGGCGAAGGCAGCCCCCUGGGCCGAUACUGACGCUCAUGCACGAAAGCGUGGGGAGCAAACAGG